ACGAGGAGGACGACGAGGAGGACGACGAGGAGGAGAGGGGCCACGAGGACGAUGAGGAGGAGGACGCCGACGACGAAGAAGAUUCAGGAGCAGCACAGGCUUUAGCGGAUGAAGGGGAUAUAGACGACUGGUUCAGCGGAAGCGGGUUGGCCUCUGGCUCUGUAUUUUCCCCUUAAAGAGACUUUGAGAUGCCCCCUCUCCCCCGCGCCCCCGCCCUCCCGUUCCACCCACCGAUUUCCAGGACACGCCACCCGCCCCGUUCUCUAGGAAGGGGAGGGCCGUCUGUGGGGAGCGGAGGAGACGCGCCCCCCCCCCCCCUUUCCUCCCCGACAAAGCCCCCUCACCCCCGAGGCCGGGACUCUCCACGGAACGAGUCGUCCUCCCCGUCUUCUCCCCCGGUUGGGCUGGUGGAGAGGAGGCGGGCGGGGAGACCAGUUCCCGGCCCCUCUCGGCAAAACCCGUUCACCCAAUAAAGAUGUUUGGAACCCGA